rnacentral:rRNA from 1 species
UACAGAGGUCUCGAGCGUUGUUCGGAUUCAUUGGGCGUAAAGGGCGCGUAGGCGGCGGGGUAAGUCUGGUGUGAAAUCUCGGAGCUCAACUCCGAAAUUGCACUGGAUACUGCUCUGCUAGAGGGCUGGAGAGGAGAUCGGAAUUCCAGGUGUAGCGGUGAAAUGCGUAGAUAUCUGGAGGAACACCGGUGGCGAAGGCGGCAUCCUGGGACCAAUUCUGACACUGAGGAGCGAAAGCCAGGGGGAGCAAACGGG